UUUGUUUCUUCCAAGGACCAUGGUAAUGUGCUCUUUUGCUAUUAACAGUUCGUUAUAGGGAUUAUUGACUGUUGAUUUGAAGUGUGGAUUGUGAAAUGAAAGGGUCUGCCCUGAGCCCUGACUGCCCCUUUGUGUUGAUUUUCUGCUUCUUCUGCUCUGUCAUGUCAUGUCUCUAACAUGUUGCAGGAAGAAGUUAAGUAGCUUAUAACAGAACUCCGGAAUGGACGAUUCCAUAGUCUAAGAUUGAGAUUAAGGCUUUUCUUGGAAACCAAACAAGAUAGGAUUGUUUAAGUCUUUUAUUUUUAUUUUUUAUUUUU
rnacentral:misc_RNA from 1 species